AGCGAUCCGGUCUGGGAGGCCCGUGCGGCCGCUCCUGGCCCUGGUGGCUCCGCUUCGCCAGAAGCUGCGGCCGGGCGCCGGCCAUGGCGGCGGCUGCCGCGGGGACGCCCGUGUUCCUGGAGGUGCGGACACAGCUGCGGAGCGCGCUGCUGAUCCUGGGGGAGCCUAAAGAAGGAGGUACGCCCAUGGAUAUUUCUAUAACACCAUCAUCACUCCAGGUGAAGACCCCUGCAGACUGCACAGAGCUCCGGCUUCCAGCAGAGGUCAGGCUUGUACCUUCCUCUUGCCGAGGGCUGCAGUACGUGGCUGGAGAUGGGCUGCACCUGCGGCUGCAGGUGUGGGCAGAAUCCAAUGCCAAACUGAUUUCCAUGUUUAAUCAAAGCUCACAAGCCCGAGAAUGCUGUACAUUUUAUUGCCAGUCCUGUGGUGAAGUCAUAAUAAGGGACAGGAAGCUUCUCAGGGUGCUCCCAUUGCCGAGUGAGAACUGGGGAGCUCUAGUUGGAGAAUGGUGUUGUCAUCCUGACCCCUUUGCUAAUAAGCCACUUCAUCCACAAGAGAAUGACUGUUUUAUUGGAGACUCUUUCUUCUUGGUGAAUUUAAGAAGUGAUUUAUGGCAGCCAAGACCUGAACUAGCCCCAGUGGAGACACACUGUCUUUCUUCUGAGAACCAUUUUAAAUUGAAACCAAAGGCAAAUACCAAAGUAAUUUGUAAGCGUUGCAAGGUAAUGUUGGGAGAGACCAUGUCAUCAGAAACCACCAAGUUUUAUAUGACAGAGAUAAUUAUUCAGCCAUCUGAAAGAAAUUUUCCCAUCAUACCAAGGUCCCAGUUUGUACAGAGUGUUAUCGCCCAGUGUCUGGUGGAACUCUCCGCUGCUAGAAGCACUUUUAGAUUCACUAUUCAAGGUCAUGACAGCAAAGUGUACAUCUUGCUAUGGCUUUUAAACUCAGACAGUUUGGUGAUUGAAUCUUUGGGAAGUUCCAGAGGUAUCACAAAAUUCCCUCUGUUGGAAGACAUCUCAAAGGCAGAUUCCAGUUCUGCCUGGAAUGCUGUCAAGGUCCUCUACCAGCCAUGUGUCAAAAGCAGGAAUGAAAAGCUUUCCAGUGCAUGGGAAAGUGACAUCAGCAUCCACACUCUAACCCUGCCCUCUGCAACCUGCUUAGAGCUGCUGCUGAUAUUAUCCAGGAACAACGCCACGCUACCUCCAUCGCUUCGCUAUAUGAAUUCCUUUCAGCUUGGUUGCUUUCCAUUACCCUGUCUUCUGGGUCAUUGAUCCAUUUUUCUUCAUCCUGUAAUCUGCUGUUGAUUUGUGCUAGAGUAUUUUCCACUUCAGGUGGCCUUUUUGAAGAUGUAACUGUUGGAGCCAAGACAUUCCUGUCCCUGGAAGACAGCUCUCCCGCACAGAGCACCCCAGAGGCCAGCAUUCUGCACAGUAGGCAGCCAUUACAGAGACAAGAACCAGAGCUACUGAAUAAGAGCAUCGUGUGGAAGUUGUGAGUUUACUGGUUCGCAUAUACUCUCCAUGAGAGGAGUUCACUUCAAAUCUUUGAAGAACCAAGACUGUGAAGAACGUUGUCAUAGCAGGUUGAGGAAAGUGUAGAAGUUAUGUCUCUAUUUCCCACAGAGAGGAAUAUUCCAAUAUGUGCCGCGUCAGCACCACCUGGAAGGAGAUUAGCUAGUGGAGUCCCAUCUGUCCUUUGUGGAACGCAGUGAGGGGCUUCACUGGUGGAUCUGAAAGUUAACUGCCGUACAUCCAAGCAAAUAAACUUACAUAAGCUUCCCAUUUGGUUUGUUUCAAACAAAUGUUUAGAAAGAAAAAUAAUAGGAAUUUGUAUGCCUUAUUCAGAAGAGAUGCUCAGUGAAUAAAUGUUUGUUGAAUGGUUAUCACAUUAAAGGUUUUCCUGUUUA